GGAUGUGAGGGCGAUCUGGCUGCGACAUCUGUCACCCCAUUGAUCACCAGGGUUGAUUUGACUGAUCUGGCUGGCCAGGCGGGUGUCCCCUUCCUCCCUCAUCACUCCAUGUGCGUCCCUCCCGAAGCUGUGCACUCAGUGGAAGAGGACGAUCAUCCCAGAUAAAAGGAGUGCACCGUUCUUCGGUCAAGGGUAUACGAUAGCUGUGCUCCCCUGCUAGAACCGCCAAACAAACUUUCACCAUUGCUACUAAAGAUUGGAAUUCCCAGUGCUAUGCCGUCUACUUAGAAGUAAUCCCACUGGGUUUGAUGAAGUUACUC